rnacentral:rRNA from 1 species
UACAGAGGGGGCAAGCGUUAUUCGGAAUUACUGGGCGUAAAGGGCGCGUAGGCGGCCUGUUAAGUCGAACGUGAAAUCCCCGGGCUCAACCCGGGAACUGCGUCCGAUACUGGCAGGCUUGAAUCCGGGAGAGGGAUGUGGAAUUCCAGGUGUAGCGGUGAAAUGCGUAGAUAUCUGGAGGAACACCGGUGGCGAAGGCGGCAUCCUGGACCGGUAUUGACGCUGAGGCGCGAAAGCCAGGGGAGCAAACGGG